rnacentral:rRNA from 1 species
UACGAAGGGGGCUAGCGUUGCUCGGAAUGACUGGGCGUAAAGGGCGCGUAGGCGGUUCGUACAGUCAGACGUGAAAUUCCUGGGCUCAACCUGGGGGCUGCGUUUGAUACGUGCGGACUUGAGUGCGGAAGAGGGUCGUGGAAUUCCCAGUGUAGAGGUGAAAUUCGUAGAUAUUGGGAAGAACACCGAUGGCGAAGGCAGCCAUCUGGACCGACACUGACGCUGAGGCGCGAAAGCGUGGGGAGCAAACAGG